AAAGGGCGGCUCAAAGGGACAGUCGCUGGAGGCCGGGUCUUGAGGAGGUGUUGACCCAAAGUAUUUUCUCUCAUGCCUGGCCACGCUGCCCUGGACCCUCCACCCAGCCGAAUAUGACACAUCUCCAGAAACCCAGCAGGCGCAAGCCGCAGGGUUGGCCUUAAAAUCCUGCUUAAACAGGAGACCCUGGAGGCCUGCUUCAGUGCCACCAGCCUAACCGCCAGGGCUCAUCAAAGACGCUGCCCAGAUGCAUUGAACGUAAGCAAGAUCAGCAAAGGUUUAUCUCAACUUCAGACUCACUCCCAGAAACUCACUCUUGGGAGCUCUCUGUGGAAUUGGGCCCCCCUUCUUCUGGUAUUAUGUUUUCAAAACUGACAGGGAUAUGAAAGAAAAACUUAUCCAGGAAAGAAAAUUGGGUUGAACAUUUAACAUCUCAUUUAAGUCUUGC
rnacentral:lncRNA from 1 species